rnacentral:rRNA from 1 species
UACGAAGGGUGCAAACGUUGCUCGGAAUUAUUGGGCGUAAAGCGCACGUAGGCGGCUUUGCAAGUCCCAUGUGAAAUCCCACGGCUUAACCGUGGAAGUGCAUGGGAAACUGCAGAGCUUGAGUACUUAAGAGGAUCGCGGAAUUCCCGGUGUAGAGGUGAAAUUCGUAGAGAUGUGGAGGAACACCAAUGGCGAAGGCAGCCUCCUGGGCCAACACUGACACUCAUGCACGAAAGCGUGGGGAGCAAACAGG